rnacentral:rRNA from 1 species
UGCAUAUCCCAAAAGCGGAGGAAAAGAAACCAACAGGGAUUGCCUUAGUAACGGCGAGUGAGCGGCAAAAGCUCAAAUUUGAAAUCUGGCACCUUCGGUGUCCGAGUUGUAAUUUGAAGAAGGUAACUUUGGAGUUAGCUCUUGUCUAUGUUCCUUGGAACAGGACGUCACAGAGGGUGAGAAUCCCGUGCGAUGAGAUGUCUAACUCUAUGUAAAGUGCUUUCGAAGAGUCGAGUUGUUUGGGAAUGCAGCUCUAAGUGGGUGGUAAAUUCCAUCUAAAGCUAAAUAUUGGCGAGAGACCGAUAGCGAACAAGUACAGUGAUGGAAAGAUGAAAAGAACUUUGAAAAGAGAGUGAAAAAGUACGUGAAAUUGUUGAAAGGGAAGGGUUUGAGAUCAGACUUGGUAUUUUGUAUGUCUUGCUUUCGGGUGGGGCCUCUGCAGUUUACUGGGCCAGCAUCGGUUUGGAUGGUAGGAUAAUGACAUUGGAAUGUGGCACUACUUCGGUGGUGUGUUAUAGACUUUGUUGAUACUGCCUGUCUAGACCGAGGACUGCGUCUUUGACUAGGAUGCUGGCAUAAUGAUCCUAAACCGCCCGUCUUGAACCUCCGAACCA